rnacentral:lncRNA from 1 species
CUGAAUAUGGAUUUGGAAUUGAAAAUUAACCUCCCAACUUGCAUUUUCUUGUGUAGAAGUUGCACCUACAAAAAAAAUCAAGAGUUCAAAAAGGUUUCACAAAUUGAAAGAAGAAAGAUAGAGAGACCUUGGCUGUUGAGAAUAUGCCUAUUUCUCAUCUUGUUAAUGAAUUAUUUGAAUAGGCUGUUUCCACUGGUUUAAAACUGUGAAUUAAUAAAAACAUAUGCAUAUAAGUAGUAGUUAAAGACAAAAUUUAACUAAAAUACAAGUUGUAGUUGGACAGAUUGUAGCAAUUUAUUUGCUGAACUUUGUAUUUUCUUAAGUGUUCUUUUUUCUUUUUUAAUUGGAAAAAUAUCAAUGACUUUUUUUCCAGUUGUUUUCUGUACAUGCAGAACGUAGAUGAUGUGUUGGUUGGUGUAAUUUUCUUGGCAUUCAACUGUACAUGAAGGCAAAGAAUCACAAAUGAGGCACAGCAGAAAGUACACUGCUGAAUACUAGGAAAAUUAGAGCUUACAAAUCAGCUAAGGAGAUGCAAACUGAUUCUGAGGCACCUUGGGGGAACAGAUUCCACUUCAUGCAUGUUCCAAUUCCCAUGUUAAGUGAUAACAAUGAAUUGAACCCAGUUGAGUUUGUGUUAGAAGCCAAGAAAAAAAUCAACAGGCAGAUAAAUUCUUUGGCAGUACCAAUGACUGGUGUGCUUUUAC